rnacentral:lncRNA from 1 species
AUUGCACCCAACCCAAAUAAACAAAUAAAUCCUAAUUGUCAAAAUAUAAAUAAAAUAAAUAAAAAAGUAUGAAAAGAAAAAAGGAAAAAGUUGUUGCUUGCCACUAAGCGGGACAACGCCCACUUUGAGAGAGAGGAGAGAGUCACAUUUAUUUUCAAAUUUCAAUCAACAACCAAUAAGGUUGUGACAAGUGGAUUAAAAAUGUGAAAAAAAAACAAAAUAAUCCUUAAAGCAAAAAAAAGAGUAAAACAACUCAACAC